GACGAGGUGGCCGAGCGGUGAAGGCGGUGGACUGCUAAUCCGUUGUGCCCUGCACUUUGGGCUCGACUCUCACCCUCGCCG
rnacentral:tRNA from 1 species